rnacentral:rRNA from 1 species
AUUGAACGCUGGCGCCAGGCCUAACACAUGCAAGUCGAGCGGUUGAGGGGAGCUUGCUCCCUGAUUCAGCGGCGGACGGGUGAGUAAUGCCUAGGAAUCUGCCUAUUAGUGGGGGACAACGUUUCGAAAGGAAAGCUAAUACCGCAUACGUCAUACGGGAGUAAGCAGGGGACCUUCGGGCCUUGCGCUAAUAGAUGAGCCUAGGUCGGAUUAGCUAGUUGGUGAGGUAAUGGCUCACCAAGGCGACGAUCCGUAACUGGUCUGAGAGGAUGAUCAGUCACACUGGAACUGAGGCACGGUCCAGACUCCUACGGGAGGCAGCAGUGGGGAAUAUUGGACAAUGGGCGAAAGCCUGAUCCAGCCAUGCCGCGUGUGUGAAGAAGGUCUUCGGAUUGUAAAGCACUUUAAGUUGGGAGGAAGGGUUGUAGAUUAAUACUCUGCAAUUUUGACGUUACCGACAGAAUAAGCACCGGCUAACUCUGUGCCAGCAGCCGCCGCUGUAA